GACCGCAUAGCUCAAUUGGCAGAGCAUUGGGCUAGUACUCCAAAGGUCGUAGGUUCGAAUCCCACCGUGGCCA
rnacentral:tRNA from 1 species